UGUGAUCGGCUCACUGCAACCUCCCCGUCCUGGGUUCGAGUGAUUCUCCUGCCUCAGCCUCCCAAGUAGCUGGGAUUACAGGCAUGUGCCACCAUGGCCAGCUAAGUUUUGUAUUUUUAGUAGAGACAGAGUUUCACCAUAUUGGCAAUGCUGGUCUUGAACUCCUGACCUCAGGUGAUCCACCCACCUCAGCCUCCCAAAGUGCUGGGAUUACAGGCGUGAGCCAACGUGUUCGGCCUGCCAGUUGAACGUGCUCAAAUGCAUAUUCCAAUUUUCUGGAAGAAUGGAACCAAUGUGUCUUGAGAGCUCAUUUCAUGUCUGUAUGUUCACAGACAUUGUCUAAUUUGAUCCUCACCAGUGCUCACUAUCAAAUGAAAUCUAGAGCUUACAAGAACAAAGCAGGCCGAGAAUGCCCCCAAACCAUCCCAGACACUGGACACCAUCACCAUGGAUAGUGCCUAAGUCAAGGGCAUUGAUUGGAACCACAGAAGUCAGAGCACCUUCCACACAUCUGUCACAUAACGUCUCAUGCCAUUAGUGAGCGAUCCUGACAGGAUGCAAGGCGUCUCCCUAGCCCCUCUGGUCUGCAGCGCUCUGUGUGCUGUGCCUCUACUGGCUGACCCAGCAUGGUGAGAACCUGGAAGGCAUGGGUUUGAGGACUGGACUUACAGAUCUCUGGCAGUGUGACCUACCGACAGGCCAUGUUCCCUGUCUCGGCUGAGCUGUCCCUUCUGCAACAUGAAGUCAUAAUCACAGCCUACCCAUUCACUGUGACCUUGUGGAAACCAAGCCUUAUGGAGAGUUAAGGUGCAUUAUGGAUGGAAAGUGCCAUACAAGAGUACCUUCUUUCCACUAGCAAAAUCUUGACUUGGCUGGUGCUGUUCUAGGAUAGACUGCUUUUCCUUUCCUUGGCCUCCUGCACUGAGUUUGCCUUUCUCCCCCCAGCCCCUUGUCUCAGCAUCAUGGGCUCCUCAGGAGCCCCCCUCACAGCUCCCCAACUGCUAAUGUUCACUUCUGUGGAAAAUGAUAGGUGACAAGUUGCUCUCGGAGAUGCCCACGAUCAGAUAAGCCAGGAGGGGAAACGAGUUCUUCUGGAAGGGAAACAGGCUGUACUAUGGAAAUUAAAUAUUCCUUAGAGGAGAGCAGGAAACUUUAGAUCCCAGUCACGGGUUUCUGAGGAAGGCUCACCAGAGAAACUGGGGUAUCCCCGGGGCGCGGGCUGGGAAGGAUGGAAGCUGUUACUCCUGACAUCUGCAACUGUCAUUUGGAGCCUGGGUCUGGGCUCUGUGUUCCCCCACCCCCACCCCAACACUGGCAACCUGAUCAAAGUCAUCCUUCCCCUUCUCCCCCUGUGGGGCCCCCAGUGCCCUUCUAUUCAUUCAGCAAUCAGGGCGCAUGUGCUUUCCAACUCAGUGUCCUGAUAUGUAUCUGCAAGCAGGGAUGUGAGAGCUUCCUUCUGCCAUUCCCAACAUGGGGAAACUGAGUCACAAAAGGGCUGAGGCGAGCGGUCACAUGAAUGCCACUCUGAACAGAGCUCUGGAUAUAUUC
ensembl:lncRNA